rnacentral:rRNA from 1 species
UACGUAGGGGGCAAGCGUUGUCCGGAAUCAUUGGGCGUAAAGCGCGUGUAGGCGGCCCGGUAAGUCCGCUGUGAAAGUCCAGGGCUCAACCCUGGGAUGCCGGUGGAUACUGUCGGGCUCGAGUCCGGAAGAGGCGAGUGGAAUUCCUGGUGUAGCGGUGAAAUGCGCAGAUAUCAGGAGGAACACCAAUGGCGAAGGCAGCUCGCUGGGACGUGACUGACGCUGAGACGCGAAGCGUGGGGAGCAAACAGG